rnacentral:rRNA from 1 species
UACGAAGGGGGCUAGCGUUGCUCGGAUUGACUGGGCGUAAAGGGCGCGUAGGCGGCCUUCUAAGUCAGACGUGAAAUCCCCCGGCUUAACCUGGGAACUGCGUCUGAUACUGGGAGGCUUGAGUAUGGGAGAGGGAUGUAGAAUUCCAGGUGUAGCGGUGAAAUGCGUAGAUAUCUGGAGGAAUACCGGUGGCGAAGGCGGCAUCCUGGACCAUUACUGACGCUGAGGCGCGAAAGCUAGGGGAGCAAACGGG